GACGAAGGGGGCUAGCGUUGUUCGGAAUUACUGGGCGUAAAGCGCGUGUAGGCGGUUGCCAUAGUCAGGUGUGAAAGCCUUGAGCUCAACUCAAGAAAUGCACUUGAUACUGGGCGACUAGAGGACCGGAGAGGAUAGUGGAAUUCCCAGUGUAGUGGUGAAAUUCGUAGAGAUUGGGAAGAACACCAGUGGCGAAGGCGGCUAUCUGGACGGUUUCUGACGCUAAGACGCGAAAGCGUGGGGAGCAAACAGG
rnacentral:rRNA from 1 species